rnacentral:rRNA from 1 species
UACGUAGGCAGCAAGCGUUGUUCGGAAUUACUGGGCGUAAAGAGUGUGUAGGCGGUGCUCUAAGUUCGGUGUGAAAUCUCCCGGCUUAACUGGGAGGGUGCGCCGGAAACUGGAGUGCUCGAGCGUGGGAGAGGAAAGCGGAAUUCAUGGUGUAGCGGUGAAAUGCGUAGAUAUCAGGAGGAACACCUGCGGUGUAGACGGCUUUCUGGACCAUUGCUGACGCUGAGACACGAAAGCGUGGGUAGCAAACAGG